rnacentral:rRNA from 1 species
AUUGAACGCUGGCGGCCGGCCUAACACAUGCAAGUCGAACGAGUGGAGGAAGGGUGAGUAAUGUCUGGUAAACUGCCUGAUGGAGGGGGAUAACUACUGGAAACGGUAGCUAAUACCGCAUACCAUCAGAUGUGCCCAGCUGGGAUGAGCUAGUGGGUGAGGUAACGGCUCACCUAGGCGACGAGCCCUAGCUGAUCUUAGAGGAUGAACAGACACACUGGAACUGAGACACGGACCAGACUCCGACGGGAGGCAGCAGUAGGGAAUAUUGCACAAUGGGCGCAAGCCGGAUGCAGCCAUGCCGCGUGUAUGAAGAAGGCCUUCGGGUUGUAAAGUACUUUUAGCGGGGAGGCGUUACCCGCAGAAGAAGCACCGGCUAACUCCGUGCCAGCAGCCGCGGUAAUUC